GACGAACGCUGGCGGCGUGCUUAACACAUGCAAGUCGAACGAAGUGGCGAACGGGUGAGUAACGCGUAAUCAACCGGCCCUUCAGAGGGGGACAACAGGUGGAAACGACUGCUAAUACAGCAUACUGAAGGAGGGGAGGCCGUCUGAUAAGCUGGUUGGCGGGGUAACGGCCCACCAAGGCGAUGAGCAGUAGCCGGUCUGGGAGGAUGAACGGCCACAUUGGGACUGGGACACGGCCCAGACUCCCACGGGAGGCAGCAGUGGGGAAUCGUCCGCAAUGGACGAAAGUCUUACGGGGCAACGCCGCGUGGGUGAUGACAGCCUUCGGGUUGUAAAGCUCUGUUAAUCGGGACGCGGUACCGAAAUAGAAAGCCACGGCUAACUACGUGCCAGCAGCCGCGGUAAUAC
rnacentral:rRNA from 1 species